CCUACGGGCGGCUGCAGUGGGGAAUAUUGCACAAUGGGCGAAAGCCUGAUGCAGCAACGCCGCGUGAGCGAUGAAGGCCUUUGGGUCGUAAAGCUCUGUCCUUGGGGAAGAAACAAAUGACGGUACCCAAGGAGGAAGCCCCGGCUAACUACGUGCCAGCAGCCGCGGUAAUACGUAGGGGGCAAGCGUUAUCCGGAAUUAUUGGGCGUAAAGAGUACGUAGGUGGUCUUUUAAGCGCAGGGUUUAAGGCAAUGGCUUAACCAUUGUUCGCCCUGUGAACUGGAAGACUUGAGUGUAGGAGAGGAAAGUGGAAUUCCUAGUGUAGCGGUGAAAUGCGUAGAUAUUAGGAGGAACAUCAGUGGCGAAGGCGACUUUCUGGACUAUUACUGACACUGAGGUACGAAAGCGUGGGGAGCAAACAGGCUUAGAUACCCGUGUAGUC
rnacentral:rRNA from 2 species